UGUUUGGGAAUGCAGCUCUAAAUGGGUGGUAAAUUUCAUCUAAAGCUAAAUAUUGACGAGAGACCGAUAGCGAACAAGUACCGUGAGGGAAAGAUGAAAAGAACUUUGAAAAGAGAGUUAAACAGUACUUGAAAUUGUUAAGAGGGAAGCGCUGCAGCCCAGUCGAUGCUGUGUCGCCAUAUUUUCUGCUUGUCUUAGUCUUAUGUCGAUGUUGUCAAGAGAUGCAUAAUCCUUUGGUGAUGUUACAUGAUGGCUGAAUGGGUGGUUCCUGUGGCAAUACGCGUGUCAGAAUCAAUUUGCUCGGGUAGUAGAAAGGCAUGUGAAAGGUAGGUAAAGGAGCAAUCCCUUACUGUUAUAGUCAUGUGUCGGAAUGCUGGUCUGGUAGAUUGAGGAUAUUUGUUUUACUCGUGCGCCCCUCGGGGUUUUGUGGUGGUUGUCUCUUGCUGGAUACAUCUCUUGGUUGGUUAGAACAAUGUUCUUGUCAGCUGAUGUGUUUGGUACUGAGGUGAUUGCAGGCAUAUGCACAAAGAAUGGAUUCUGACGAAAUGGGCUGCAUCGACCCGUCUUGAAACACGGACC
rnacentral:rRNA from 1 species